AUUACAGACUCGUCUUCCUGAGACACGUGCACCUGCUAAGGGAGUAGCAUUAAGGAAAUCUACAAAGUCAGCCUCUGAUUAUCAAGGUUCUUCCUUAAGGAGAAAAGGAAAAAAGCAAAAGCAAAAUAACACAUUUACUUCAAAGAACUCCUGUCUGACUGAGCGAAGGAAAAGUAGCCUCAUUGCUUUGAUCCUUUCACUGAGCAAAACAACAUGAAAAGCGAAAACAAGGCUCAAAAUAUGGGCUUUUGUUGAGCGCAUCAUUAGGAGUGUUUAUUGGCUGCUGCAAACACACAUCCCAGCCCCAGAGCACGCAGUAAGGUUUGCUCAAUGACAGCAUGAGAGCAAGCCUCACUAGCUUCCCCAGGGAAGGCAGGGCAGUUGAUUCUGAGUCUCACUCCUUUUCCAAGAGAGGGAGGAGGGACCUUAAGUUUCAAACCUCCUUGGCUCCUGGUGAGUUCAGGCUUUAGAACUACACUUGGAUUUUUAUUUAAGGCCUUGGUUUGUUUACCCUUGAUAAACACUGUCCGAUUCUUUUCUUCCCUUUGAAGAGAAAAGCUCUUGAAUAAGCUGAUGAAAAAGGCUUUUUGCAUAUCAGCUUUUUCAAAACAAUGCUGUAAUAAGUGCAAACAAAUCAGGAUACAAUGAAUUAUAUUUCCUCUUUAAAAUACAAAGUUUAAUGAAUUUAAGAUGAUGGGGAAGUGUUUUUGUGAAAGUGCUUUUCAAAUCCAGAAUACUGGGAGGUAGUUAGUACACUAAAAGUAUGGACCGAAUUUGCCUUCCUAUACUUCAGGACAGUAUUUAUCAACUGGUGUGUGUGGCCUCAGUCCUUCAGAGGUGACCUGUCACAUUUUGAUGAAUGCAUAAAGUUAAUUUGUUUUACACUGAGGACACUCCCAACAUAGCACUGAGCAGACAGAAUGUGAUGCUGAGCGGCACUGUCACCGUCUGCUACAAGGAGGUAAAAGGCAUAAUUUAAUAGUAAGCUGGCACCAAAGAAAGAUUUCAUAAUUUGGGAAAUGUGCAAACACUUUGCUUCAUGAGCACAAAAGAGAGUGUGGCCAGGUAGGAAGCAGGCCCAUACAGCAGCUCUGCUGGAAACUCCACAAAGGUGGAAGCCCAGGGUUUCUCCUAGCACUUGGAGCCCAUGGCCCCACAUGGGGCUAGACAACAACAAAUCGUUGUUCCAUAAAUGAAUGAAUGAAUGAACCUGUCACAGAGUGGCAAAGGGUGACCAAGGGGCUUGACUCUGGAUGAAAUCUGUCAAACUAGACCAGAAAACCAAAGGCUAAGAACCUUUGUUUUGAGCAGGAGAAAACCCUGUCUUUUCGACAGUCUUUUCUUAUGUUGUAUGUAUUUUCUUGCUUUGCCUCCUGUCCUGGCCUGGAAGCUCACUGAGGGCAGAGUGCUCAUCUUAACUCUUCUCUUAUUUUGAGACAGAGUCUUGCUCUGUUGCCCAGGCUGGAGUGCAGAGGUGCAAUCUCGGCUCACUGCAAUCUCUGCCUCCCAGGUUGAAGCGAUUCUCCUGCCUCAGCCUCCCAUGAAGCUGGGAUUACAAACAUGUGCCAUCAUGCCCAGCUAAUUUUUGUAUUUUAGUAGAGACAAGGUUUCACGAUGUUGGUCAGGCUGCUCUCGAACUCUUGACCUCAGGUGAUCCACCCGCCUCGGCCUCAAAAAGUGCUGGGAUUACAGGCAUGAGACACUGCGCCCAGCUACUUGUUUUAACUCUUUUGGUCUUUUUCUUCUUUUAGAGGGCAUUGUGCAUGGCAUGAGAUGCUAAAUGAUGCUGAACCCAUGAAAGAAUCCAGACUGUCAUCUUCAUCACCAUCAUUAUCACCAUCAUAUUCACCUUUGUCAUCAUUUUUAUCGUUUUCCUUCAUCAUCAACCUUCAUUAUCUGCAUCAUCUUUUUCUUCCCCUUUGUUGAUUUCAUUUUCCCUCGGGAUAGUGUUGUGCUGAUUUCUAAGUGCUUUCAUGGGUAUGAUUCUGUGGCGGUAUACACUUGUGCUCUCCGGCUGACCGGGUUAGGAUUUUCCUUGUAGUCAGCAUCAGCAUCAGCCCCUCUUCUUGGGCACCUGCUACUGGUUCUGCUUGUUCUCCUGAUUCUCCAGGCACAUCUUUAGGAAUAGGCGGCUUUAGGUGCAGUGAGGAAACAUAAGCUAGUAUUUAUUAUAGUAAAAGAGAAAUUUGUUAAAUCACUAGGCAAAAAUCAAUAAUUCAAACAAAGAAAAAGGGACUAAAAGCAAAGUUGCAUUGCUUUCAGUAAUGUAAAGUACUCUGCUUUGACCCUAUUUUGGCCAGUGUUCUUAGUGAAGAAUGCGCCAGUUCUUAAAUAUCACAUGACUUCCUUAUUAGUCUUAACAAAAUAACAAAGAACUGUGCAUAUGAGAAUGGUUAGAGCAGCCUUUUCAUCUUACUGAUAUCAAUACAAAUAAAGAGAUAUUUUGCUGCAACAGGUCCUGGCUUCAAAAAGAGCCAUAAAUGCCUGCUUUUUUUUUUUUAAUCAUUUCUGACUCUUGGUUUUCAGAGCAUUUGAUCUCUCUUCUUUCUCUCCCUAGCAUCCUCUAUCACAAGCAUGAAGUGGAGAUUCGUGGAGCCCUCGAGCCAGUUCUUUGGUUUUCAGGGCCUCUGCUCCUGUGGUCACCUGAGGACUGACUCAAGCUGAUGGAAGCCUUGACAUGUGCUCCCACCAUCUCCCUGGCAAGUGAAGAAGGUGUGAUGACUCAUGGCUUGGCUCUCUAAAGUUCAACCUUCUAUACACAAACCAUCGGUCACAGACAGUUACAUGGCCACCCUAAUUUCAAAAGAGAGAAGUACAAUCCCACCAUGUGCUCACAGAGGGGAGAACUAGGGGAAGUCAUAGAUUUGAAGCCCUUGGAGGGAUUUGGCAUGCCACUGCUGGCUCGAAGAUGGAGGCAGCCACAUGUCAAGGAGUGUGGGCAUCCUUCAGGAGCUGCGAGUAGCCCCACCUGACAGCCAGCAAGGAAACAGUGACCUCAGACCUGCAGCUGCAAUCAGUCAGCAACCUGAAUGAGCGUGGAAGCAGAUUCUUCCCUGGAGCUUUCAGGGGACAUAAGACAGUGAACAUGAAGAGAGCUGAUCUUUCUACGAAGAGCUGAAUGCUUUGGAAACACUGAACAGUAAUCACUGAAAAAUGCCAUGGAAUUAGAUAUACAAUUGUACAAAGAUUAUUCUUUCUUCGUUGAAUUACCUUGGACUCUUUGUUCAAAAUCAAUUGACCAGG